CAGAGGAGAGAGAAGCAAGGGAAGAGUCAAUGGUGGUGGUCGAAGAAACAGGGCUGGAAAUGGCAACCCUUGAUUCAGGCGCAAGAAAUCGGUGUUUUGCUUUUGCAAUUAGGGAUUGUUAUGUUCGUCAUGCGAUUGCUCCGGCCUGGGAUCCCUUUACCCGGGUCGGAGCCGAGGCAACAGACGACUUUUAUUAGCGUGCCGUACAGUGAGUUUUUGAGCAAGAUUAAUAGUAAUCAAGUGCAGAAA
rnacentral:misc_RNA from 1 species